UACGUAGGGUGCAAGCGUUGUCCGGAAUUAUUGGGCGUAAAGAGCUCGUAGGCGGCUUGUCGCGUCGGCUGUGAAAACCUGGGGCUCAACCCCGGGCCUGCAGCCGAUACGGGCAAGCUAGAGUUCGGUAGGGGAGACUGGAAUUCCUGGUGUAGCGGUGAAAUGCGCAGAUAUCAGGAAGAACACCCGUGGCGAAGGCGGCUCUCUGGAACGCAACUGACGCUGAGACGCGAAAGCGUGGGGAGCAAACAGG
rnacentral:rRNA from 1 species